GAUGAACGCUGGCGGCGUGCCUAAUACAUGCAAGUCGAGCGAACAGACGAGGAGCUUGCUCCUCUGACGUUAUCGGCGGACGGGUGAGUAACACGUGGAUAACCUACCUAUAAGACUGGGAUAACUUCGGGAAACCGGAGCUAAUACCGGAUAAUAUAUUGAACCGCAUGGUUCAAUAGUGAAAGACGGUUUUGCUGUCACUUAUAGAUGGAUCCGCGCCGCAUUAGCUAGUUGGUAAGGUAACGGCUUACCAAGGCUACGAUGCGUAGCCGACCCGAGAGGGAGGUCGCCCAGCCGGGAUGAGAGGCAGGGCCCACACUCCUAGGGUGGGCAGCAGUAGGGAAUCUUCCGGAAGGGAGGAGAGCCUAACAGAGCAACGCGGGGUGAGUCAUGAAGGUGUAAGGCUCGGUGAACGCUGCAAUUAGGAAAGAUCAAAAGUUUAUUUAACUAUGAACGUAUUGACGGUACCGGAUGAAAAAGCCACGGCUAACUACGUG
rnacentral:rRNA from 1 species